CAAUUCAGAACUGCAGAUAGUACAGCUUUCACAGAAGCAAUGGGAUGUCUGAGCACAAGUGGCUGACUUGGGAGUGACUUUAUGAAGCACUUUUCUGCCUUCCUCAGGCAUAAAAAACUGGAAUUCUGCACCUGCAUCAGAAAAGGACCAGACUAAUUCUGCCAUCCAGUAACAAGAAAUUCACAAGCUAAGCGGUUUGAAAUUAAAUUGCAAGAGAUUUGCCAACUGGAAGACAAAGGUAGAUGAAGUCACUUUGACCCCUGCCUGUUAUACAGAAGCUUUGGAAGUACUGUGAAGUCUCUAAGAUUUGAUGUAGAGAUGAGUCUGCUGUGCUGAAAAUCAGAAAAUGAUUCAGUCCCCUCAGGUCAAGAAAGGAAAAAGAAAGAAAGAAAGAAGAAGAGAAAAGGAGGAAGAGGAAGAAA